rnacentral:rRNA from 1 species
AGAGUUUGAUCCUGGCUCAGGAUGAACGCUGGCGGCGUGCCUAAUACAUGCAAGUCGAACGAGUUCUGAUUAUUGAAAGGUGCUUGCAUCUUGAUUUAAUUUUGAACGAGUGGCGGACGGGUGAGUAACACGUGGGUAACCUGCCCUUAAGUGGGGGAUAACAUUUGGAAACAGAUGCUAAUACCGCAUAAAUCCAAGAACCGCAUGGUUCUUGGCUGAAAGAUGGCGUAAGCUAUCGCUUUUGGAUGGACCCGCGGCGUAUUAGCUAGUUGGUGAGGUAACGGCUCACCAAGGCAAUGAUACGUAGCCGAACUGAGAGGUUGAUCGGCCACAUUGGGACUGAGACACGGCCCAAACUCCUACGGGAGGCAGCAGUAGGGAAUCUUCCACAAUGGACGCAAGUCUGAUGGAGCAACGCCGCGUGAGUGAAGAAGGCUUUCGGGUCGUAAAACUCUGUUGUUGGAGAAGAAUGGUCGGCAGAGUAACUGUUGUCGGCGUGACGGUAUCCAACCAGAAAGCCACGGCUAACUACGUGCCAGCAGCCGCGGUAAUACGUAGGUGGCAAGCGUUGUCCGGAUUUAUUGGGCGUAAAGCGAGCGCAGGCGGUUUUUUAAGUCUGAUGUGAAAGCCCUCGGCUUAACCGAGGAAGUGCAUCGGAAACUGGGAAACUUGAGUGCAGAAGAGGACAGUGGAACUCCAUGUGUAGCGGUGAAAUGCGUAGAUAUAUGGAAGAACACCAGUGGCGAAGGCGGCUGUCUGGUCUGUAACUGACGCUGAGGCUCGAAAGCAUGGGUAGCGAACAGGAUUAGAUACCCUGGUAGUCCAUGCCGUAAACGAUGAGUGCUAAGUGUUGGGAGGUUUCCGCCUCUCAGUGCUGCAGCUAACGCAUUAAGCACUCCGCCUGGGGAGUACGACCGCAAGGUUGAAACUCAAAGGAAUUGACGGGGGCCCGCACAAGCGGUGGAGCAUGUGGUUUAAUUCGAAGCAACGCGAAGAACCUUA